CACAGAAGCAGCUCUCUAAUCUAAUCAAACGUUUUUGGCAGAAGCAUUUAUUUUAACCAAUCGAAGUCUGUGCUGGGCUCACUUGAAUGAAGGUGAUCUUGCCUUGAGAGAUGCUAUCGCUAGCCGGAUGGUGCUGCCUUCCUUGCCAAAAGCACACUAUGCUGAAGGAGUUGCCUGGAAUUUAUCAAAAGAUUUCAAGCGUGCAGCAGAAUCUUUUCUUACUGGUAUGCGGCUCGAUCGAAAAAACAGGCAGCUAAAUGAUCUUUUCAGGGAUCAUAGAGAGAUUCUACAAGCUCUUGACAUGCCUCCAAAUAUGUGAAAUUUGUACGCGUCCUUUCUUAGUGGUCAUGCUGACGCUCAAACAAUCUGUGAUUCCUGUGGAAUCUUUUCUUGAUUGACUACAAAUCAGAAGUUUACUUAAAUGUUCUUUAGAAGUUUAUUAAU